UAGGGAAUCUUCGGCAAUGGACGAAAGUCUGACCGAGCAACGCCGCGUGUGUGAAGAAGGUUUUCGGAUCGUAAAACUCUGUUGUUAGAGAAGAACAAGGACGUUAGUAACUGAACGUCCCCUGACGGUAUCUAACCAGAAAGCCACGGCUAACUACGUGCCAGCAGCCGCGGUAAUACGAAGGUGGCAAGCGUUGUCCGGAUUCAUUGGGCGUAAAGCGAGCGCAGGCGGUUUCUUAAGUCUGAUGUGAAAGCCCCCGGCUCAACCGGGGAGGGUCAUUGGAAACUGGGAGACUUGAGUGCAGAAGAGGAGAGUGGAAUUCCAUGUGUAGCGGUGAAAUGCGUAGAUAUAUGGAGGAACACCAGUGGCGAAGGCGGCUCUCUGGUCUGUAACUGACGCUGAGGCUCGAAAGCGUGGGGAGCAAACAGG
rnacentral:rRNA from 1 species